CCUCAAACUUCUCCCCCUGUUCCACUAGGACUUGCUGUAGUUCCAGACAAUGUGGAGAUACUGUGUGAGACCUCUGUCAAAGGUGGAAUGCUUCACUCUACGAGAAAUCCAGCACCUCUGAGCUGACAUGAUCCCCUUGGUGGAGGGGAUGCCCAAAGAGUGCCUGCCACACGCACAGCCGAGAUUCACGGGUGUGACCAGGCUAGUGCUUCCAAGGACAGAGACGUUCUGGCCUCCUGACGUCUGGAGUCUGAGCCUCUCCCAGUCCGGGAACAUACCCAUUAGAAGAGUCCCUCCAGUGGGUGAGCUGAGGAGGUGAUUUUUGCAAGAGAAUCAUAGAGGUAUCCACUUACCAAGUUGACGUCAGUGAGAGGCUGGAUCAAUCCCCAGAACUUCCUAUCUCAGACUUCUUGUCAUUUGAGAAGUUUAAAGAGGCUUCCUUCAAACCAGGAUCAUAAAAAUAGUUAUCCAUAUUUUCUUCUAUUAAUUUCAAGCCUUCAAGAUAACUUUUAAAUUGUUGAUCCGUCUGGAAUUUAUUUUGGUAUAAAAGUAAGGAAAACAAAUUACAAAAGUAACCUAUGCUUGCUAUAA
rnacentral:lncRNA from 1 species